CAGCAGCCACGGUAAUACGGAGGGGGCUAGCGUUGUUCGGAAUUACUGGGCGUAAAGCGCACGUAGGCGGCUUGGUAAGUUAGAGGUGAGAGCCUGGAGCUCAACUCCAGAAUUGCCUUUAAGACUGCCGAGCUAGCAGGUGAGAGAGGUAAGUGGAAUUCCGAGUGUAGAGGUGAAAUUCGUAGAUAUUCGGAAGAACACCAGUGGCGAAGGCGGCUUACUGGCUCAUACUGGACGCUGAGGUGCGAAAGCGUGGGGAGCAAACAGGAUUAGAUACCCCAGUAGUCCCUGUCUCUUAUAC
rnacentral:rRNA from 1 species